CUAGAUUAGUCCAUCUGAUUAGAGAAAGAUACUAUGCAGUUUUUUUUAUUUAUAAAGCCCUUGGCUUAUGAGAGGAUAUGGUGAGGUCCUAUGCCGAGAGCUAUUAUAGAUGUCACUAUAACAAGUGUUUAGCAUGUCAUAGUGAUUACAGAAUACUUGUCUGUUUCAUAAAAUCAUUUCGAACCUUCAUACACAAGAGUUAGUAUAACAAAAAUUGCAAAAGCAUCUUGGUCCCACUUUUGAGAACUAUCUUCUAAUUGCUUUUGUUUCAUCAGAUUUACGAUGAAGUACCUUGAGAAACUUCAAAGCCGUGCUGUCUAAAAAUCCGAAAGCUUAGAGCUGUGCCAUGCAGAGACUUCUGCCGGCUCUUAUUGACCGCAUCAUUAGAGAGACAUCUGCGAAGAGCUCUCGAAAUGUCUUCCUCAAAAUGUUGGCCGAGUCCUAAGCGUUGAAAGUCAUCAACCAGAGCAAAUAUGGUCAUGGGUUCAGCUUUUUCGUCAUUGAGAGCACCUCUCACUUCUUCUUCCAACAUUUGUGCCUUUUCUCUCUGUAGCUCGACCUACGUUAGAAGAAAGUAAAAUCCACAGCUUAGUGUUUGAACCCUAGAAAAAAGCAAAGAAAGAUACUUCAAAGGAAGAGGUGGAAAUCUUCUAUCUAGUGGUCCCAUUUAUGUCACAUGCGUGGGAUUAUGACUGAUUUUUUAAGAUGAAAUAAUGUUGUGUAAAAGACGUCAAGAUACACGAGGAUAGAGGAUUUCAUCUUUUCAUGGCAUGCUGUAUUUUUUGAUAGGUUUAUAUUGUUAACUAAUCACAAAUGACAAUCGUUGAUGACUCUCUAUUCUCGUUUGGAUAAGACUUGCUACAUACUUGUUGGAAGAAAACCUCUUCCAAUCAAUAUUCGGGUUGGCGGAUACAAUACUGUGAAUGGCAUAAUUUUUGUAUGACGCUCACUUAAAUAUCAUAAUGUUUUUUCAAUUGUCUAAGUGUCAUAAUUUAUAUACGACACUCAUUUGAGUAUCAUAACUUUUUUUUCAAUCACUUAAAUACCAUAUAACUUUUCAAUCUAUUACUUAAAUGUCACAAAUUUUUUAAAAAACAUUCCAUGUUAGAUUUCUAAGAUUUGGAUAAGCAUUUAUAAAAGGGUUUGGCACUUAAGUGAUAGAUUAAAAGUUACAAUACUCAAGUAAACAUUUUUCAGAAGUUAUGGCACUCGAGUGAUCGAAAAAAAAAUUAUGAUACUUAGCGAAUGCUGUAACGAAAGUUAUGAUAGUUGUGGUGUUCCUUACCUUUAGUUAUAUCCAUAUUUCGAUGAUGGCCUUCCAAUUCAUCCAUCAAAAACAUGAUUAGAGGAAACUAGUUAUGGAGGAAAAUAUGACCUAUCAAUAAAAGUGAUAAAUCUUGAUUAUGAGACCACAUGAAUUAAUAAUUAUGACAAUGGGGAGAUCAUUAAAUCAAAUGUCAUACUCAUCAAGUUAGUACAGUGACGCCUAACAUAAAGUUACAGCACAACCAAGUUUGAUCGACAGUUUGUCCUAGGGUAAUUAUCCUCUCUAAUUCCAAAAUUUCAUCUAUGUUUUAUUGAGAACGUGAGAAUAAUUGAACUUCCAAUUAGACUAAAUUCCCACCGAUGCAUUGAGCUGCCUUGUCCACGUACCUGCAGCAAUGCUCCACCCACAAGUGGCCAAUGUAGGAACCAAGGCUACUUUGAGCGAAAGACAUUAAUGUCUCGUAUUCAAACCAAGUAUUUAACCACUCAUCUAAACAUUAUAUUUAAGUUCAAACCAAAUUACGAAAAUCGUCUUCUUUUCUUUUGACAGUAGCAUAAAUGUCUCGUAUGGAGAACAUAUAGCUAGAGUGUGGUUUUUUACCGCAUGACGAGAUUGACGGCUUUCAUCAGAAUCAAGUGACUGAAGGUAAUUGUGAGUCCAGACGGUUGGCUGAUAAUUGGCCGAUCUCCGUCGUCCUUGAGUAUCAGAGACCUGCGUGCUCGCUCAACAAUGGACUCGACCAUUAGCCGUUGGAGAGGGAAGCUUCGGAAGAUAAGGCGCGGACAAAAGACGAAGUGCCAUUACUCACACGAAUUGGACUAAGGCCAAUCCUACAAAAGGUGAAAACUCAAAGAUCAGUGCAUACUCUCAGUUAGCGUGAACGGUCCCUAUUUAUACAAAAUAUCUGAUUCCCUAGGACACAACGUUGGAAUACGCUACUAGAUUUUCGACUUCAAGCGAUCGUCGCUGUUGUCGUGACGGACCAUAUGCUCUUGUCCUCUCAUUUUUCUACGUAUGCUCGAUCACACGCUGCUGCUGGAUUGUCCCUCGUCGAAUCUUCUGUCCAUGUUGCUCAAUCACACGCUACUGGGCUCGCCUCUCGUCCAUCCGUUAGUGUCCUCGUGUUUUUAGCCGAACACCUGUUCGGAAACAAAUGGCGCACGAGAAGUUGUGUCAUUCUCAGGAUCGAAGAUUUUAUAUGGAGAUAUUCUCUCUAUAUACCAUCAUUAUUCUCCCGCAAGCUAUAAAGAGGGAAUCUGCACGGAACAUACAGUUAUGGAUGGUCCCUUGUUCUCCCAGAGAAGCAAGGCCCCACCUUCUGGGAAAGGGAUUGAUGCUCGAGAGAAAUAGGCUCGAUUAUCAAUGAGUGCAUACGGUUCCUCGACCGGUUGUCCGGAGCUCCAUGCGCAUCUCCAUCCUGGUACAUGAAAUGUGUUGUCCGGGCAAGAUUGUAAGCCAUCCGCACAAAAGAUUGAUCGAAGGUGGAGCCAUUGACUAGAUAUUUGUUCAUCUGUUUCCAAGAUGUGUCGAUCAAUUUCAUAACGUAAUCGCGAGCCACUGAUUCGGAGACCCCCAUCUCUUGCAUGUAACACAUGAUUGAAUUCGUUGUUUCUCCCCUCUCUAGCUCAGCCUGUUAGGACCAUAGUUUUGCCAAUUGUUUUAGCAGAAGAUUAUUUUAGAAGAAGCUAUCUAAAAGAUUAUUGAGUAUAUGGAUAUUAUGACUGCAGAAAAAAGAAGUAUUUGCAUAAGGUUAACUGUGAAACAGGAAAAAUCAAACUAGAGAGAGCUGAAAAAAAUGCAUACCGAUGAGGUACCGAGAUCAUUGGUAAGACCCAAAAUCAUGGAUGGCAAGCGCAAGAUAUCAUGGUAAUGUUCUAGCGAUUCUGGUUCCUCCCGUCUCAUGCUUGGGCUUGAUAAAAAGUAGGCAUGAAUCAAUAUGACAUGCCCUGAUGAUGAUAUCCACCCAUUGUUCAAGUACUCUUCAAAUCGUGGGUUAGUCUUGUUGUAGCUCCAUUUGGCUUCUUGCAAGAAGGAUUUGCACAAAUCAUACCACUGGGAAGCAAUAGAAAUACCAAAUUUACGUAUUAGGUAGGAAAUUCCUAAAAGUCGGAUGCGUACAUGGUCAGUUAGUACAAUGUCGAGUACUGAAAAGUCUUUUCGCUUACCGAUUUUGCUAGAUACGGGAUGACAAUUUUCCCGGUCUCCUUGAGAGUGUCGUAAGCGAUUUCGUUCACGCUGUUGAAGAGAGCUAAGAAGCACAACUUCAUAUAGCCAGGAAGAUCGUCCACAGCAUUGAUGUCCCAUCUGAAACCACACAAAUGACAAGGUGGAACCUCAACCUCUAAAAUGCAUGAACGUUAUUGUCUCCAAGUAAAUGGACGAACGAUGAACCUGCGAACAGCAUCAGUGAAUAGCUCCAGUUCGUCCAAUGUGCCAUAAACAUCGUACACAUCAUCGAUGAUGGUUAUCAGCGAGGUCACUUUGGUCAGCCGCUUCCGACAAUUAGCGAGCGUAGGUUCGUCUGCCACUCCAACCGCCCAAAAGAAGCACUCCAUUAGUCUAUCCCUCACGAAGUUCAAAUUUCUCGCGAGGGUAACAUCAUUCCACCAUCUGCGAUAACACAGUAUAAUUUUAGAGUAUGCAUUGCAAUUUUUCGAAUACAUGGGAAGCUUUCCAAAGUCUAAUUUCCUUAUAGCCCAUGAAUUCCAUCGUCCAUUGUAGGAUUUAUCCUCAUGAGUUUGCAGACUAGCCUUGACAUUUCCUGAAGAUCUCUUUGGAGGAUUGAUUGUGACGUGUUGAAGUUCGUCACGGCAAAUUCGGGGAUUCGAUGAUUGGUGUAUCCGCAUCUUCUGUAAGCUUCAAUGGACUGUCGAGCUUCUAGCAUUGGCAUUCUACAGUGCAGAGGCAGUUCUAAUUCAUGUUUCCCUUGGUCUUUGAGAUCUUUGUCGACGUUGCAAUUAAGGUUUCUGAGAUGCUCGAUGGCGAAUGAUCUAGCCUCUUGCAAGCUAUCUUCUUCUUCAAAGGCCAAAUGGGAGGCUUCGUGUAGACUCAGCAUUCCUUGGACAUCACCACCAAGGGUCUUCAUAAAACUGCCACUUUUGUCCAUGAAAAUCUUAAAAUCAUCUGUUUAUUCGAAGCCGAGAUUAGUCCAUCUGAUUAGAGAAAGAUACUAUGCAGUUUUUUAAUUUAUAAUGCCCUUCGCUCAUGAGAGGAUAUGGUGAGGUCCUAUGCUGAGAGCUAUUAUUGAUGUCACUACAAGUGUUUAGCACGUCAUAGUAAUUACAGAGUACUCGUCUGUUUCAUAUAAUCAUUUCGAACCUUCGUGCACAAAAGCUACGCUAGUAUAACAAAAAUUGCAAAAGCAUCUUGAUUUCACUUUUGAGAAUUAUCUUCUAAUUGCUUUUGUUUCAUCAGAUUUACGAUGAAGUACCUUGAGAAACUUCAAAGCCGUGCUGUCUAAAAAUCCGAAAGCUUAGAGCUGUGCCCUGCAGAGACUUCUGCCGGCUCUUAUUGACCGCAUCAUUAGAGAGACAUCUGCGAAGAGCUCUCGAAAUGUCUUCCUCAAAAUGUUGGCCGAGUCCUAAGCGUUGAAAGUCAUCAACCAGAGCAAAUAUGGUCAUGGGUUCAGCUUUUUCGUCAUUGAGAGCACCUCUCACUUCUUCCA
rnacentral:lncRNA from 1 species